rnacentral:rRNA from 1 species
UACAGAGGGUGCGAGCGUUGUCCGGAAUCACUGGGCGUAAAGGGCGCGUAGGUGGCGACCCAAGUCGAUGGUGAAAGCUCGCCGCUUAACGGCGAGUCGGCCACCGAUACUGGGUUGCUCGAGCACUGUAGAGGCUCAUGGAAUUCCGGGUGUAGCGGUGGAGUGCGUAGAGAUCCGGAAGAACACCGGUGGCGAAGGCGGUGAGCUGGGCAGUUGCUGACACUGAGGCGCGACAGCGUGGGGAGCAAACAGG